rnacentral:rRNA from 3 species
CGAGUCUUAACCGGGCGUUAAGUUGCAGGGUAUAGACCCGAAACCCGGUGAUCUAGCCAUGGGCAGGUUGAAGGUUGGGUAACACUAACUGGAGGACCGAACCGACUAAUGUUGAAAAAUUAGCGGAUGACCUGUGGCUGGGGGUGAAAGGCCAAUCAAACCGGGAGAUAGCUGGUUCUCCCCGAAAGCUAUUUAGGUAGCGCCUCGUGAAUUCAUCUCCGGGGGUAGAGCACUGUUUCGGCUAGGGGGCCAUCCCGGCUUACCAACCCGAUGCAAACUGCGAAUACCGGAGAAUGUUAUCACGGGAGACACACGGCGGGUGCUAACGUCCGUCGUGAAGAGGGAAACAACCCAGACCGCCAGCUAAGGUCCCAAAGUCAUGGUUAAGUGGGAAACGAUGUGGGAAGGCCCAGACAGCCAGGAUGUUGGCUUAGAAGCAGCCAUCAUUUAAAGAAAGCGUAAUAGCUCACUGGUCGAGUCGGCCUGCGCGGAAGAUGUAACGGGGCUAAACCAUGCACCGAAGCUGCGGCAGCGAACGUAUCACUUAAAGCGAUUCAGCGGGUUACGAUUGACGGAGCGAAGCGACGUCAAAGCGUAUACAAAGUCGAGUCGGUUUAAGGAUACGUUCGUUGGGUAGGGGAGCGUUCUGUAAGCCUGUGAAGGUGUGUCGUGAGGCAUGCUGGAGGUAUCAGAAGUGCGAAUGCUGACAUAAGUAACGAUAAAGCGGGUGAAAAGCCCGCUCGCCGGAAGACCAAGGGUUCCUGUCCAACGUUAAUCGGGGCAGGGUGAGUCGACCCCUAAGGCGAGGCCGAAAGGCGUAGUCGAUGGGAAACGGGUUAAUAUUCCCGUACUUGGUGUUACUGCGAAGGGGGGACGGAGAAGGCUAUGUUGGCCGGGCGACGGUUGUCCCGGUUUAAGCGUGUAGGUGUGUGUUCCAGGUAAAUCCGGUUCACUUUAACACUGAGGCGUGAUGACGAGGCACUACGGUGCUGAAGCAACAAAUGCCCUGCUUCCAGGAAAAGCCUCUAAGCAUCAGGUAACAUCAAAUCGUACCCCAAACCGACACAGGUGGUCAGGUAGAGAAUACCAAGGCGCUUGAGAGAACUCGGGUGAAGGAACUAGGCAAAAUGGUGCCGUAACUUCGGGAGAAGGCACGCUGACACGUAGGUGAAGUGAUUUACUCAUGGAGCUGAAGUCAGUCGAAGAUACCAGCUGGCUGCAACUGUUUAUUAAAAACACAGCACUGUGCAAACACGAAAGUGGACGUAUACGGUGUGACGCCUGCCCGGUGCCGGAAGGUUAAUUGAUGGGGUCAGCGCAAGCGAAGCUCCUGAUCGAAGCCCCGGUAAACGGCGGCCGUAACUAUAACGGUCCUAAGGUAGCGAAAUUCCUUGUCGGGUAAGUUCCGACCUGCACGAAUGGCGUAAUGAUGGCCAGGCUGUCUCCACCCGAGACUCAGUGAAAUUGAACUCGCUGUGAAGAUGCAGUGUACCCGCGGCAAGACGGAAAGACCCCGUGAACCUUUACUAUAGCUUGACACUGAACAUUGAGCCUUGAUGUGUAGGAUAGGUGGGAGGCUUUGAAGCGUGGACGCCAGUCUGCGUGGAGCCGACCUUGAAAUACCACCCUUUAAUGUUUGAUGUUCUAACGUGGACCCGUAAUCCGGGUUGCGGACAGUGUCUGGUGGGUAGUUUGACUGGGGCGGUCUCCUCCUAAAGAGUAACGGAGGAGCACGAAGGUUGGCUAAUCCUGGUCGGACAUCAGGAGGUUAGUGCAAUGGCAUAAGCCAGCUUGACUGCGAGCGUGACGGCGCGAGCAGGUGCGAAAGCAGGUCAUAGUGAUCCGGUGGUUCUGAAUGGAAGGGCCAUCGCUCAACGGAUAAAAGGUACUCCGGGGAUAACAGGCUGAUACCGCCCAAGAGUUCAUAUCGACGGCGGUGUUUGGCACCUCGAUGUCGGCUCAUCACAUCCUGGGGCUGAAGUAGGUCCCAAGGGUAUGGCUGUUCGCCAUUUAAAGUGGUACGCGAGCUGGGUUUAGAACGUCGUGAGACAGUUCGGUCCCUAUCUGCCGUGGGCGCUGGAGAACUGAGGGGGGCUGCUCCUAGUACGAGAGGACCGGAGUGGACGCAUCACUGGUGUUCGGGUUGUCAUGCCAAUGGCACUGCCCGGUAGCUAAAUGCGGAAGAGAUAAGUGCUGAAAGCAU